rnacentral:ncRNA from 2 species
CGUCGCCGUAGCAACGCCGGGCAUACCCUGCCCGGCGUCGGGGCGGAUGGCCCACCCGCCGUCCGCUCUCCUUCCCCCCGCACAGACUCUGCUACGGCGGCGCCCCCUUCCCCUUACGCCGCGC